UGCCAGAUCGUCUAAUGGUAGGACGACGGACUCUGGCUCCGUUAAUCUAGGUUCGAGCCCUAGUCUGGCAG
rnacentral:tRNA from 1 species